GAUGAACGCUGGCGGCGUGCCUAAUACAUGCAAGUCGAGCGAAUGGAUUAAGAGCUUGCUCUUAUGAAGUUAGCGGCGGACGGGUGAGUAACACGUGGGUAACCUGCCCAUAAGACUGGGAUAACUCCGGGAAGCCGGGGCUAAUACCGGAUAACAUUUUGAACCGCAUGGUUCGAAAUUGAAAGGCGGCUUCGGCUGUCACUCAUGGAUGGACCCGCGUCGCAUUAGCUAGUUGGUGAGGUAACGGCUCACCAAGGCAACGAUGCGUAGCCGACCUGAGAGGGUGAUCGGCCACACUGGGACUGAGACACGGCCCAGACUCCUACGGGAGGCAGCAGUAGGGAAUCUUCCGCAAUGGACGAAAGUCUGACGGAGCAACGCCGCGUGAGUGAUGAAGGCUUUCGGGUCGUAAAACUCUGUUGUUAGGGAAGAACAAGUGCUAGUUGAAUAAGCUGGCACCUUGACGGUACCUAACCAGAAAGCCACGGCUAACUACGUGCCAGCCGCCGCGGUAA
rnacentral:rRNA from 1 species